rnacentral:rRNA from 1 species
UCUGAGAGGAUGAUCAGUCACACUGGAACUGAGACACGGUCCAGACUCCUACGGGAGGCAGCAGUGGGGAAUAUUGGACAAUGGGCGAAAGCCUGAUCCAGCCAUGCCGCGUGUGUGAAGAAGGUCUUCGGAUUGUAAAGCACUUUAAGUUGGGAGGAAGGGCAGUAAGUUAAUACCUUGCUGUUUUGACGUUACCGACAGAAUAAGCACCGGCUAACUCUGUGCCAGCAGCCGCGGUAAUACAGAGGGUGCAAGCGUUAAUCGGAAUUACUGGGCGUAAAGCGCGCGUAGGUGGUUUGUUAAGUUGGAUGUGAAAGCCCCGGGCUCAACCUGGGAACUGCAUCCAAAACUGGCAAGCUAGAGUACGGUAGAGGGUGGUGGAAUUUCCUGUGUAGCGGUGAAAUGCGUAGAUAUAGGAAGGAACACCAGUGGCGAAGGCGACCACCUGGACUGAUACUGACACUGAGGUGCGAAAGCGUGGGGAGCAAACAGGAUUAGAUACCCUGGUAGUCCACGCCGUAAACGAUGUCAACUAGCCGUUGGAAUCCUUGAGAUUUUAGUGGCGCAGCUAACGCAUUAAGUUGACCGCCUGGGGAGUACGGCCGCAAGGGUUAAAACUCAAAUGAAUUGACGGGGGGCCCGCACAAGCGGUGGAGCAUGUGGUUUAAUUCUAAGCAACGCGAAGAAACCUUACCAGGGCCUUGACAUGCAGAAGAACUUUUCCAGAGAUGGGAUUGGGGGCCUUCGGGAAACUCUGACACAAGGUGCUUGCAUGGGCUGUCGGCCAGCCUCGUGUCGUGGAGAUGUUGGGUUAAAGUCCCGGUACCGAGCGGCAACCCCUUUGUCCUUUAGUUACCCAGCACCGUUAUUGGGUGGG